UGGCGGGAGCACCGGCUGACCCGGCGUUAGAGGCCGGAGGCGGGGAGGCAGCCGAGGGCGUAUGAAAGGCACGUGUUCGCUCCGCAAGAUCAAGAAUUUGAAGCACAGAGAGCCUAAAUAGCUUGCCCAGCGUCUCCCAGUUACGAAGUGGAUGAUCUGCUCUGGAAGCUCAGACGCUGAACCACAGUGUUUUCUCUAUGUGAUCAGAGAACCAAGGACAUGGAUUAUGGUGAAAACAUACAUACAGAGUUCCUGGACUUUACAGAACCACAAGCCUGGAAGUGCUGGGCGUGAACCUCCCGUGGAAGCAGUUCCCAGCCCAAGUCUGAGGGGCCUGGCUUGUGAAUGUGCCAGUACCUCCUCACUGCCCAGGUGGGAUAAUUCUGGGACAUCGUUUACAUCCCUUCCCAGAGUUUCCGCAUGGGAAGCGGCACCCCAGCCCACUAUUCACCCUUUGCAGACUGUGCCUCUCUGCCCACCCCAUUCCCUGCACCUCCCACUUCAGCCGUCUCAGAGCUUCUGGAAGAGCUAAACCCACGUGUGUGGAUGUGCUUCCAGCUCUCUAAUCGACCCCACUGCUUUAUUUGUCUGUCGUGGCCCCGAUCAGCUUCUCGAAGCCGGUGAACCCAGCCCCGUGUCACGCAGCAGGUUGACAUGAGAACCAGCCUCCAGAUCCUCACGUCAUCUUCACGUCGUCCUCUGCCACGUACUCUUCUCUGUUGGCCUUGGCAUCCGGCUUUCAUAUUGAUUCUCCUGGCCUUUGCCCUCGUGAUUCACCUCACCUGGCCCCUUACCCUGUUCCUCAGCAGCGUCGUUUCUCUGCACUGGAAACGGAGCAGGACCCUAGGGUCCUUGCCCCCCAUGUCCUCCGCCUGCCUUUUGUCUGUGGAAAAGCUUUAUCCAAAGAAUAAGUUUAACCAGAGAAGGGAGAAAAUGCAGAAACGAAAACAGUCCAACAAGACUAAAUAAUAAUAGUUUUGUCAUUAAGCAUAGUCAAGGACCUUUAGUUCCUUCUCAAGGGCUAUAGAUAAUGUUCUGAGCCAUAUCCUGUCUUGUAAAUACUGAAACCUCCACCAGGUGGAAGAAGUUAACUACAUGAUAACCAGACUGUAGCCAUGACACAAGCUGCCACAAUUCCGAGAAUUUGCCUCAAGGAAAUGGGAACCAACCGACCCUGGAACUGAAGGCUAACUGUACUUAAAACAAUCAAGAUGAUGCUGGUCAGAGCACCGCAUGGCCAAUGUCAAGAUGACCGUCAAGGCUGACUGUGCCGUUUCUGCAUGGAGCCCCCUCCCUCCGUCUAUAAAAGCUCUUGCCCACUGGCUGUCAGUUGGGGGGAGUCGGCCUUUGGACAGGAGUCCCCCCCUUCCCCUGGUUGCCGGCAUCUGAAAUAAAGCAAACUUUCCU